CAACCCUUAAGCUUAGCUUAGUAUUGGGAAUCUGCUUAACCGCAGCUCCUUAAAUCUAGUUGGCAGAGUGUAGUUGUACUCUGAGCGUAGUAAUUUAUUAUCUCGCUUUCUGAAGCAACUGUACGAUCGCCAUAAACCUAUAUUUUUUACU
rnacentral:misc_RNA from 1 species